GGAGUUCAAGCUCGGACCGAUCACGCCUACGAUCGCCAGCGUUACUCUCUCUCUCUCUCUCUCUCUCUCUCUCUCUCUCUCUCUCUCUCAUGUACAUGCGCAUUGAAAAUGUUCUUUUGGGGCGCAAAUGCAACAAUGCCCGUCCAUCAUCCACUUGCAGGGUGCUACUUAGAAGAAGGCGAAUGUAUAUAAAGCAUGUCAUGUAACGACCCUGUCCAACGAGGACAAGGAGUGGUUGCUAGGACGAGAGGGCCUGGACAAAGAGCUUCUCCCGGCAGGCUUCUAGGAUAGGGAAGGGAGGAACAAUGAAUCAAAUUGUGCACCGAAUAUGAGGAGAGCGAUUUCGAGAUAUAUAUGUGAAAACUAAAAUUAACUUACAGAGGUGCCUUUUGACGUAACGGCAAGCGCUUUGGAACUCCAAAGUUAAAUGUGCUCAAGCUAGAGCACUACCAGAAUGGGUGACCUAUUGGAAAAGUGUCCGCAUGUAUGCUAAAGGACAAAUUAGUGAGGCCCAGUGUGGGUCAAAGCGGAUAAUACCUCGAGUGAGUUAAUUCAGGAUGUUGGUGUGAUGUGGAACAGUUAAUAUAUUUUAGUUGGCUCAUAACUUGUUGGUUUAAACUUCUGAGUGAAGAUGGCUCAAACUGGAUA